UGGAGGAAACUUCGAGACUGGAAGAGGAAAGUAACCGCCUCUUCUUGAAGUAUUUUGCUUCAAGAAAAAGGAAACCGUCUGUUGCCGCUCUCGCUUUCCCGCGCUUCCAGCCCUCUACCUCCGCGAUCGCUCGCUCUCCCGCCAGCGCUCUCCACCACCAUCGCUGCUCGCUCUCCAGCCGGAGGCCUCCAUCACCAAGAGAACGAUGGAAGGGGGGAAGACGAAGCUGAGCCGCAGGCCGUCGAUCAACUCGUUGGACGACGGAUGCCUUAUGCACAUCUUCAGUUUCUCGUUUCAGUCUUUGUGGAUGUUGGGUUACUCGUGAGGGCGAUAGCGGCACAUAGGGAGGCAUAUACGAAUCAUGUGGCCCUAGACAGCUUGCGGGAUCAUUCUCUCCAUCUACCUCACCGCCCGUUGGAGUGGCAGAUUGAUCACCGUGCCUUUCACCUCCCUACUGUUUGGACCUCAUAUCUGAUCAACGUUGCUUUCCUUCCUACCGUUGUUCUAUCUAACGCUUUCUAGGGUUUCAAUACUUUGACCUAAUCAGUUUUCUAGGUAAGUAAUCUCUCUCGAUUGCUUUUUCUUCUCUCCUUGCUUUAUAGGGUUUCCUUCACUAAAAAUAUAAAAACAUGUCAAUCUCUGAGUCUCUCUCUGCGUUUUGUGUAUUUUGACACGGAGAACGAUGGAAGGGGGAAGACGAAGCUGAGCUGCCGGCCGUCGAUCAUCAACUCAUUGGACGACGGGCACCUUAUGCACAUCUUCAGUUUCUUUCCUCCACUCUCUGUUACAUGCUGCUGCACCAAUAUUAGCAGGCUUGGAGAGACCAAUUGCAGUUGCUUAAGUAAAUGCUGACAAAUGCAGGCAUCUUGCUUCAAAAUUUGAUGGCAAUGGGUUUCCAACUCUCAAGUUUUUUAUUCAUGGUGUGCCAGUGGAUUAUACUGGUCCAAGCCGGUCAGAAUUGCGUGUUGAGGGCUGCUAGUUGACCUCCUUAUUCAGAGAACGAUGGAAGGGGGGAAGACGAAGCUGAGCCGCAGGCCGUCGAUCAACUCGUUGGACGACGGAUGCCUUAUGCACAUCUUCAGUUUCUCGUUUCAGUCUUUGUGGAUGUUGGGUUACUCGUGAGGGCGAUAGCGGCACAUAGGGAGGCAUAUACGAAUCAUGUGGCCCUAGACAGCUUGCGGGAUCAUUCUCUCCAUCUACCUCACCGCCCGUUGGAGUGGCAGAUUGAUCACCGUGCCUUUCACCUCCCUACUGUUUGGACCUCAUAUCUGAUCAACGUUGCUUUCCUUCCUACCGUUGUUCUAUCUAACGCUUUCUAGGGUUUCAAUACUUUGACCUAAUCAGUUUUCUAGAACGAUGGAAGGGGGAAGACGAAGCUGAGCUGCCGGCCGUCGAUCAUCAACUCAUUGGACGACGGGCACCUUAUGCACAUCUUCAGUUUCUUUCCUCCACUCUCUGUUACAUGCUGCUGCACCAAUAUUAGCAGGCUUGGAGAGACCAAUUGCAGUUGCUUAAGUAAAUGCUGACAAAUGCAGGCAUCUUGCUUCAAAAUUUGAUGGCAAUGGGUUUCCAACUCUCAAGUUUUUUAUUCAUGGUGUGCCAGUGGAUUAUACUGGUCCAAGCCGGUCAGAAUUGCGUGUUGAGGGCUGCUAGUUGACCUCCUUAUUCAGAAAAUCCUUUAUUGCUCCAAGAAUUUUUGACCACUGAGAAGAAACGAAGAUACCGUUCAAAGCUGUUGGUCUGACAUCCACUAGUUGGGGGGUCCAAGAUCCUCGUCCCAAAAUGUACCAAAGCGUCGUUUAACUCAAGAUGAUAACGUUGAAGGGUAUAGACUCAUACGUUGCUCUGAGGGGUAUGUUUGAUUACCAAUUAUCUUAAGGUCUCAAAUUUUUAGGUGGCAAAAGAUUGAUGGUAGUGCAUCAAGCUAAAGAUCUUAGGUUAAACUUGAUGAUUUUAUAUUGGCAAACCUGAUAUGGGAUGGUGGAAUUUGAACUUGAACUUUAUAAUAAGGUAAUUGAGAUCAGCCGACCGCUGGAUAUUACCUGUGCUUUCUACAACACAUGACUAUUAAUGAGGAAGUGCCCGUGUACUAUGAAAAAGUGAGUUGAGGAUAGGCUUGGCAGACGGCUAAGUUGAUUGCUUUAAAGUGUGCAU